rnacentral:rRNA from 1 species
UAAAGUUGUUGCAGUUAAAAAGCUCGUAGUUGAAUUUUGGGUCUGGCCGGGCGGUCCACCUUCCGGUGAGCACUGUUCCGACGUCGGGCCUAUCCUUCUGGUGAGACGGCAUGCCCUUCACUGGGUGUGUCGGGGAACCAGGACCAUUACCUUGAAAAAAUUAGAGUGUUAAAAGCAUGCGUUUGCUCGAAUACAUUAGCAUGGAAUAAUGUAAUAGGACGCGUGGUAGUAUUUUGUUGGUUUCUAGGACCGCCGUAAUGAUUACUAGGG